GUAUACAUCUGCUUAUGGGUUGGUAUAGGAAACACAACUUGGCAUAGUUAACAUCUACUAUAAAGGACAGACUAGCAGGGGAGUACGCGAGUCGCCUGUGGCAGUCAUUCAGAAAAGAAAAGCAUAUGAACUAAGUUACGGGGAUGAAGAAAGACGUGCAACAUGGAGCAGCUCACCCUAUCUGUUCCCACAUGGGAACCCCCGGAUCUCCCUUUUACUAGGAGAAAGGUUACAUAGCCAAUAAAUGAAAGUCAAUGGAGAAUACAAUCAUCUCUCCCACAGUAAAAGGAACCAGGACUGGAGAUCAAUUUCCAUUGAAUCACCUACUUAAACAAUUUCCCAAAAUAAUUUUGCCCUUUGUUUUCACCUUAUGAAAUGACAUUAAAGUCCAAAAAUUUCACAGGUUUUAGGGACAGAAUUAAAGCCAA